UACAGAGGUCUCAAGCGUUGUUCGGAUUCAUUGGCGUAAAGGGUGCGUAGGCGGCGCGGUAAGUCGGGUGUGAAAUCUCGGAGCUUAACUCCGAAACUGCAUUCGAUACUGCCUGCUUGAGGACUGGAGAGGAGACUGGAAUUUACGGUGUAGCGGUGAAAUGCGUAGAUAUCGUAAGGAAGACCAGUGGCGAAGGCGGGUCUCUGGACAGUUCCUGACGCUGAGGCACGAAGGUCAGGGGAGCAAACGGG
rnacentral:rRNA from 1 species